UCCGGCUUAUCACCGGCAGUUCCGUUAAAGUGCCCAGCUUAACCUGAUGGCAACUAACGGCAAGGGUUGCGCUCGUUGCGGGACUUAACCCAACAUCUCACGACACGAGCUGACGACAGCCAUGCAGCACCUGUGUGAACGCCAGCCUAACUGAAGAAAGCCAUCUCUGGCCCCCAAACGUCCCAUGUCAAAAGCUGGUAAGGUUCUGCGCGUUGCUUCGAAUUAAACCACAUACUCCACCGCUUGUGCGGGUCCCCGUCAAUUCCUUUAAGUUUUAAUCUUGCGACCGUACUCCCCAGGCGGAAUGCUUAUCGUGUUAACUACGACACUGAAAGGUCGCCCCCCCAACAUCUAGCAUUCAUCGUUUACAGCGUGGACUAC
rnacentral:misc_RNA from 1 species